UUAAUUGAAACCAAAAAGAGGUAUAUCAUUGUUAAUGAUACCAUUGAGAAAAACUUCCAAUUAAA
rnacentral:tRNA from 2 species